GAUGUUUUUUUUUGGUUUGCUCUUUAUUGUCAACUGGACAAAAGCAGGUCUGUCUUGACCUGCAACAAGCAGAGGAUAUGCUUGAGGGAGUGAUGGUUACAUGUUGAAAUUGUACAUUUAUAGGGGACUGUUAUGGAUCCUCCUUCUCAAGAUGUACCUUAGAGCUACUCUCACCAAAACACUGUUGUAUGGCAUAGAAAAAAUGAUUUUUAAACCUUCCUGGUUUAGUCGGCUUGAGAUGUUCUAUACGUGUCUCGCAACCAGCUCCUUUGUUUGGGGACCUGAUCAUUCUCUAUUCCUUUCAUCUUUCUCAUCUGUUAUGUGGUCUUGUGUCUCGUUGAAGAAAAACAUCCACCUCUGGCACUGUGCUUGGCUCUUGCCGUGCAUCGAAUUAGAUCAAGCUCCGAAUUACUUUUUGAUCACUUGUCAGCUGAGACUUCAGUCGCUGUUGUCCAACAAGAAUAUCGCUGUGUAGAUUUUCUUGGACUGAAUCGGUCAUUUUGUCUAUUCCGGUUGAGGUCUGAGCUUGAAUUGUCCUCCCUGCUUUUAUUUCCAUUGGCUUUUAGGGAAGAGGGUGGGUAGGCAGAGGUUUUCGUUUUGGGAAGGGCUGCCUCUGCCAGUUGUCAAGCUCAGCCUGUAGGAUCUCGGGUGGGUGCCCUGCUGUGCUCCCUCCCUGUGCAAAUGCCUUUAUCUAUGAGCAGAUUUUUCUUGCUGUAUCAAACCUGUGUUGCUUAAUGUUUAGGAAACCCAGGGGUGUCCAAGGAGAAAGAGCCUUCUUGAGAUACAAGGUGCCAGGAGCAAAAGAGAAGAAACGGAGAGAAGGCCAUAGAUCUCCACCCGCAAGAAGUGGCCAUCGUUGCGUGGCAGAUAACGCCAACUUGUAUGUGUUUGGAGGCUACAAUCCUGACUAUGAUGAGUCUGGUGGGCCAGAGAAUGAAGACUACCCGCUCUUCAGGGAACUCUGGCGGUACAACUUUGCUACAGACACCUGGCAUCAAAUGGGCACUGAAGGCUACAUGCCCAGGGAGCUAGCCUCCAUGUCACUUGUAUUGCAUGGCAACAACCUGCUUGUGUUCGGGGGCACCGGGAUCCCCUUUGGGGAGAGCAACGGCAACGACGUCCAUGUCUGCAACGUCAAGUACAAAAGAUGGGCUCUGCUCAGCUGCCGAGGAAAGAAACCCAAACGCAUCUAUGGUCAGGCCAUGGCUAUCAUCAAUGGUUGUCUCUAUGUGUUUGGAGGAACAACUGGUUACGUUUACAGUACUGACCUACAUAAGCUAGACCUCAACACUAGAGAGUGGAUCCAGCUGAAACCAAACAAUAUGUCCUGUGACAUGCCAGAGGAGAGGUACAGACAUGAAAUUGCACACGAUGGUCAACGGAUAUAUAUCUUGGGAGGUGGAACUUCCUGGACAGCUUAUUCCUUAGAUAAGAUCCACGCAUACAACCUUGAAACCAACACCUGGGAGGAAAUUGCCACUAAACCUCAUGAAAAAGUUGGCUUCCCAGCAGCCAGAAGAUGCCAUAGCUGCGUUCAGAUAAAAAAUGAUGUGUUCGUUUGUGGAGGCUAUAAUGGAGAAGUGAUUUUCGGAGAUGUUUGGAAGCUGAAUCUGCAAACUUUCCAGUGGGUCAAGCUCCCAGCUGCCAUGCCGGAACCAGUGUAUUUUCACUGUGCUGCUGUCACACCAGUAAGCGACUCAUUUCUUUCCUAUGUAGCUGAAGUUCAAGCCGUUCGUCCAAGCACUCUGACAUUUGUGGGGGCUGCAAAUAGAACUGAACCAAUGCUACCAAGGAGGUGAUCUCCACCUUAUCCAGCAUCUUUAGGGAGCUGAGGGCUGGUGUGAGGCUCCUUGUACUCCUGCUGCUGUUUAGAGAGUGGUAGGACAAAGUAUAUUCUGCUUUCUAAAAGUAGCGAUGCAGAAUUUUAACUUUUAAACUGUAUCAACUCCAAGGAGUAAUUCCAUGUGAACUGUUCCUGUUUGCAAAAGGGAAAAAAGCACAGAUACUCCCAGCUAAACUGGUUUUAACCUACUGAGAACAGCCCGAGUUGAAAGAUUCGCAGGUGAGCAGCCCUCUUUGGAAACCACUGCUAAUGGGAAGGUCGGUAUUGCUAGCGCUUUCUGCCAGAACUAGAAGCUUAGAGACUUGUGGUUGAUAAGCAGCAGGCGGCAAGAAAUGCAUUUAGCUGUGGCUUCAGCUGGAUCAUCGCCUUAGGGCAGUGUGCGAGGGCAGAGAUCGGGUUCUUUGGUUGUAAGAGCAGUUGUCACCUAGUUUGGAGAUUGUUAUAAAUGCAACUUUCUAGGAAACUGUAGGCUUGAUAAAGGUGUUUCCCAGGCAGCUCGGUCACUGCAGGUGGGUCCCUGGACAGCAGGAAAAGAAUGCCCUUUCUUUGCCUGUAUUUUUAAAAAAAGGCAAAAUAGGUCAGCAGCUGAGCUUUUCCCAUCUCUCUGUGUUCAUGUCAUUCCUGGAGCAGGGUUACGCUGAGCCAGCAGAGGGAAUGCAGCAUGUCUUUGUAUGGUGUGGUUUUAGUUUCAAAAAAACCCCCAUUCUUUUUAGCCGAAACCUAAGUUCAAUUCUAUACUAAUUUAUUAACACUUUGCCCCUCUCCUAAAAUCGAUUUAUCGGAAUGGAAUUCACCUAAAAUACAGAGCAAAGCACUCUUAAGCUAGAGGAUACUUGCUUUAGGAUGAGACACACGUGCUCUUCAGCAGUGAUUCCUCCACUUGGCUACGAGAGGAGCCCGGGGUGACUGGCUCAGCCAGUGACACUUCAUUUACCAGCACAUAAAGGCCGGCUGCAUGUACGUUCACGGAGGUGUGGUCAACAUCCAUGAAAACAAACGGACUGGCUCUCUGUUUAAGAUGUGGCUGGUGGUACCCAG